UACCAGGUCUUGACAUCCUUUGACCACUCUGGAGACAGAGCUUUCCCUUCGGGGACAAAGUGACAGCUGGUGCAUGGUUGUCGUCAGCUCGUGUCGUGAGAUGUUGGGUUAAGUCCCGCAACGAGCGCAACCCUUGAUUUUCGUUGCCAGCAUUUAGGUGGGCACUCUACAGUGACUUCCGGUGCAAGCCGGAGGAAGGUGGUGAUGACGUCAAAUCAUCAUGCCCCUUAUGACCUGGGC
rnacentral:rRNA from 1 species